AACUAUCAAUAGUUGUAAUAAUUGGUGAAUAUAAUUGCUUUCAAGUUACAAUACCUUGGUGUUAUAUGUGUUUGGGGUGGAUAAGUAAGGCAUAGACAAUUUACAGUAAGUGAUUCAAUGAUGAACAAAAAAUUAUUUUUUAUAUAAAAAUUGCCAUAAUGUUCUUAUUUGGUAGCAAUGAAGGAAAUCUGAAUUCAGGAGUUUAUCUUGAGCAGCUUCAGGUAUUAACAGGAAGCUGAAUGACUGGCAACAGCUUUUUGGAAUUUAGCUUAACACCUUAAGAAGAAACUUGUUGAGAGAUAUGAGGUGUCUCUGUGCAAGGCGCCAGUCGUCUUACUGCGGGGAAGUCAUGUGAAUUCCCUGUAUAGACAUUACACUCCAGAUGCACAAAUCACACCUCUGCUUCUUGUUGCUUCCUCUUGCACACAAAGCCAUAUGUGCUUUCCCUGUUUUGAUGUUAAUGAAAGCGCCUUAUUCAUCAUUCCCUGAUGUUUAGAAGUGAAAUAUUUCAGGCUUCCUUAAUGGAAGAGCAUUUAUAAUAGCAGGCAUGGAACACAGAGGGUGAAAUCCUGUUCCUUAUUUCCAAACUACCAUCUUCACCCCACCCUCAACUUACUUGCCCUUUUAUACUUGGAAAUGCUAAAGCAUUUUCCCAGUAAAUUCCAAGAAGCUUAUAGAGCCAUUUUAUACACAUAUCACAAGUUAUACAUUGUCAAAUAUUCAUGUAAUUUUUUUUUUUUUUUUGCAGUAUUGAGGCAGGAUACUGGUGAUUUUCCAUACACGUUUCCAUCUAUGUUACUGGACCACUGUAUCACUGAAACUGAUAUAAACAGGCAUCCAAUUUUGUUUUAUACAGACAGUGUAGCAUCCUGUUAUUUGUUCUCUUUUAAAGAUGUAAGAAUUUUUAUAACAGGAAACAAGGAACCAGUAACCUCCAGAUAUUGUUGGCUUCUGAUUCCAUCAACUAUAAAAAAACUGAAUCAUGGGAGUGGUAGUCCAACAACAUUGCGGGGAAAACAUACCUGCUUUAUAGAAGUCCUUGCAUGCUGGUCUUAUCCAAGUAGCCCUUCGUCUAAUGUUUGGAGUAGAGAAUACAUUACAGGUUAAAAUGUCAAAGUUCAUAAAUUGUACAUUUGGGUAAAAAAGUUUUGCUCAGAAUUGGGAAUCAACCUGUGCACUAAUGAAUUCAUGCUGAAGCAUUCAGCUUAUUUCCUAUGUUUCUUUUUGCAAACCAAGAAGACAAAACAAAAUGUUAGAACAAAUGGCUUGCAUAAUAAACCCUGGAUUGUGGAUAAAUAAA